GAAAUCUGGCGCGGUUCAAUACCUCGUCUAGCCUGGGUUCCAGUAUCUAAUUUUUUUUUUACUGACAAACUCAUUUCUCUACCGGGACAGGAUGCUGUGCUGGCUGGAAGUUCCAUUUCUACAGCAAGAAUCCUAUCUGGAAACACAGAAGUUGUCCUCUAGCCACAGCAGCUCGAACUUUUUUGAUUGUUGUUGCUGCUUUCUCCCAUCACCCCCACCCCCUUUUGACAAAGAUCCAACUGUAAAAAGUCUUACGUAACAGUUCAGGACUACUUCGGUUCUUUUACUGGUAUAUCAAGAGGCCUCAAGAGGAAUAUGAAAACAAUUACAUCUCCAGGUUGGAGCAAUGUGGGUUUCAGUAUUUCGUAGUACCUCUGGAAAAGGAAAAGAGCAAAGAUUUCUUUUAGAUGCAAGAUCUACCUAUGUUUGGGUGAAAAGCAGAUGGAAGAAUCCACAGUGGAAAAGGAAGAAAAGAUGGACUAUUUUAAUCAAGAAAGGGAACCUGUAGAAAGCACAGCUACAAGGAUAGUAGAAAGUGACAGGCUCCAGGUCCAUGUGGAUGUGGUCACUUUGGAGGGCAGACACAUCAGCCUCAGAGAAUGAAAAUGAUGAAGGAAAUUCCAGCCUACUUCUGUUCUCUCAGGCUGUAUCUCAAUAGGAUCCAACUGGACCUUGUGAUCCUGUAUCUUGGCAAGGAGCCUGGCAUGGAGUAGACACUCAGUAAAUGUUUGUCAAAUGAAUUUCCUUAUGAUUUCUGGCACAGUUAUAUUUAAAACUCAGGAAGUGGCCUGCUCCUUGACCAAGCACUGGAUACCUUCAAACCAUCUGUGCCAUGAAUCAUAGUUCCAACCCAGGUAUAAUUUUAAUAACCACCAGAUAUCAGAUUUGUCCUUGAUUACUAUACUUGCUAUAGAACCCCUGAAUUUACACUUUAGUCUAACUUCCCCUCCUUUUCUUCAGACUAAAUCUACUGAAAACAUGUGCAAUCAGUCAAAAUCACAUGCCCCUUCUGCUCCUGUUCCCAGUAAACAGUUGAGGCAAAACAUAGAGUAUAAAAGAUGUGGUUUAGGAUAUGGGGUCAGAAAACUUGAAUUUAAGUCCAAUUCUGCCAUAGUUGUGUGCUCUUGGACAAGUGAGUCACCCUGUAAACCCUCCUUCUCUGUAAAAUGAGGACUAAGGAUACCUCUCCUAUCUCACAGGAUUACUGUGAGGCCUCAGCAAAACAAACAAAAAACAAAAAUUAAAAAAAACAGUGAAAAGUACAGGACAUAGCAAUACAGCCCAAAGCAUCCUAGUAUGUGAGCCCACUCCAUCCUCUUUCAGCAGACAAGAUACCCUCAUUCCUCAAAUUCUCACCUACUUGUCAAUCUGCAGCACAUAUUUGCAAGAUGCCUAGCUGGGACUAAUCUAUAACCUGGGGCUGAAAGUAAGCAUUUUUCUCUAUAUAAGUAUCAUCUGCCUAGACAGCCCAUCAGAGCCACACUCCAAACAGUUGAGUCAUUCUCCCAAACAAGGAGAAAAUUCUUUCUGAUGGACUUUAGUGAGACAGGGCAUAGGGUAAGUCUUUGGGAGCAGGGCGGGUCUAGGCCUCCAAGUGAAAGACUAAUAUGAGACAUCACAAAUCAAUAGGACAUCACCUGACAAACUUAAAACCAUUUUAUUAGAAAAAAAACCCCACAAAACACUUUUUUCCAAAAGUCUCCAACCAAUCUUAGGUACUUUUUAGUUUUACAACUUUACUUAGAUUUAAUUUAUAUACCAUACAAUGGAUCCAUUGUAAAUGCACAAUUCAAUGACUUUUAUUCACUCAUUUAUAGAGUUGUGCAACUAAGACUGCAAUCCAAUUUUAGAAUAUUUUCAUCAUUCCAAAACUCCCCUUGAACCUGCUUCCAAUCAACUCUACUCCUACCUUUAGACCCAACCAAUGAUCUGUAUUCUCUCUAUAAAUUUGCCUUUUCUAGAUAUUUCCUAUAAAUGGAAUCAUAUAAUACAUAGUAUUUUGAGUUUGAUUUCUUUCAUUCAGCAUGUUUUUGAAGUUUAUUCAUGUUGUAGCAUGUUAGUAGUUCAUUCUUUUUUACUGUUGAAUAGCAUUCCAUUAUAUGGAUAUUCCACAUUUUAUCCCUUUACCAGCUGAUGGACACUUGGAUUGUUUCCAGAUUUGGGCUAUUAUAAAUAAUGCUGCUCUAAACAUUCAUAUACAAGUCUUUGUGUAGACAUACAUUUAUAUUCCUCCUGGAUAGAUACCUAGGAGUGAAACUGCUGCAUCAUAUGGUAAGUUUCUAUUUAACUUUUUUUAGAAACGCAUUGGGGGAGGGGCAAAGGGAGAGGGAGAAAACUUAAGCAGGCUGUAGAGCAUGACACAGGGCUUGAUCUCACAGCCCAGAGAUCAUGACCUGAGCUGAAAUCGAGAGUUGGAUGCUUAACCGACUGAGUCACCCAGGCGCCCCUAUGUGCAACUGUUUAUCAAAUUUCCAAACUGACUUCUAAAGUGACUGUACCAUUUUACAUUCUCAUGGCAAUGCACAAGGUUUCCAGUUCCUGUACAUCCUUACCAACACAUUUUUAUAGUUGUUUUGACUACAGCCACUCCAGAGGGUAUGCAGUAGAAAUUCAUUGUGAUUUUAAUUUGCAUUUCCCUAAUAACGAACGAUGUUGAACACCUUUAUGUGAUAAAAUGUCUGUUCAAGCCUUUUGUCUCGUCUUUGAUUCUUUCAUUUAUUUUUAUUGUGAUAAAAUAUACAUAACACAAAAUCUACCAUUUUAAACAUUUUUGAGUGUACAAUUCAGUGGCAUUAAAUUCAAGACUGUGCAACCACCUAUAUACUUCCAGAAUAUUUUGUUUUAUUUUUAUUUUUUAAAGAUUUUAUUUAUUUGACAAAGAGAGGCACAGCGAGAGAGGGAACACAAGCAGGGGGAGUGGGAAAGAGAGAAGCAGGCUUCCCAGCUUCCUACGGAGCAGGGAGCCCAAUAUGGGGCUCCAUCCCAGGACCCUGGUAUCAUGACCUGAGCCCAAGGCCGAUGCUUAACGACUGAGCCACCCAGGCGCCCCUUUUCACAAUUUUAAACAAAAACUCUCUACCCAUUAAACAGUAACUAUUCAUUCCACACUUCCCCUAAGCAACCUAUUCUUUAAUCACUUCCCCUAUUUUACUUUCUGUCUCUAUGAAUUUGCCUAUUCUAAUUAUCACAUGUAAGUGGAAUCAUGAAAAAAAAUAACUUUUAUUUAAAAAAAUAAUUUUAAAAACUAUCGUCCUCUGAGUUGUAAGAGUUCUUUAUAUAUUUUG